rnacentral:rRNA from 1 species
UACGUAGGGUCCGAGCGUUGUCCGGAAUUAUUGGGCGUAAAGGGCUCGUAGGCGGUUUGUCGCGUCGGGAGUGAAAACGCCGUGCUUAACACGGCGCUUGCUUUCGAUACGGGCAGACUAGAGGUAUGCAGGGGAGAACGGAAUUCCUGGUGUAGCGGUGAAAUGCGCAGAUAUCAGGAAGAAUAUCCGUGGCGAAGGCGGCUCUCUGGGACGGUACUGACGCUGAGACGCGAAAGCGUGGGGAGCGAACAGG